AGAAACAUGGAUCUUCAAUGCAAAUUCUGUACAUCUGGGAAGGAAGAUACACACAGUAUAACCAUGUAAACCUCAUACUGGCUACCAGUUACAGAUGUCAUUUACCAAGUAGACAUAACCUAUUGUGAUACAGAAGAUACAGUAUAAUCUCUGAGUGCUACAUAGUAUACAUCCAUUCAGCAGGAAAGCCAAGAGAAGUAAUGAACCAUAGCUCCCUCCGAUUACAACCUUUAUCAGGCUAGGCUGCGCAGUGAAAUGUUGAGAGGAUUCUUGUGUCAAUUGAGGUGGGACAAUACAGCAGCAAAGAAACCAUAAAAGGCAACCACAAAAUCACUGACAUUCCAAAGUUAGCAUGGCCCCCCUUAUCAACCUGGGGUUAAAUCUUGAUAUCUAAACGAAAUUCUUGGUGCACCGGUAUAAUCUCGCAAACAACCAGGUUAGGAGACAAAAAUGAUGUCAUAUUUGCAGUCACCCAUAUAAUCAGGUGAGCAUAUGGUCCCUCUUCACAAGCAAAACGAAUUUAG
rnacentral:lncRNA from 1 species